rnacentral:rRNA from 1 species
AUUGAACGCUGGCGGCAGGCCUAACACAUGCAAGUCGAACGGUAACAGGAAGAAGCUUGCUUCUUUGCUGACGAGUGGCGGACGGGUGAGUAAUGUCUGGGAAACUGCCUGAUGGAGGGGGAUAACUACUGGAAACGGUAGCUAAUACCGCAUAACGUCGCAAGACCAAAGAGGGGGACCUUCGGGCCUCUUGCCAUCGGAUGUGCCCAGAUGGGAUUAGCUAGUAGGUGGGGUAACGGCUCACCUAGGCGACGAUCCCUAGCUGGUCUGAGAGGAUGACCAGCCACACUGGAACUGAGACACAGUCCAGACUCCUGCGGGAGGCAGCAGUGGGGAAUAUUGCACAAUGGGCGCAAGCCUGAUGCAGCCAUGCCGCGUGUAUGAAGAAGGCCUUCGGGUUGUAAAGUACUUUCAGCGGGGAGGAAGGGAGUAAAGUUAAUACCUUUACUCAUUGACGUUACCCGCAGAAGAAGCACCGGCUAACUCCGUG